AACCCAAGUCACCUUUACUGGAAAUCAGCUUGCUGAAAGCCUUGAGACUGCAGUUCUUGGAGUUGAAGAAAAGGAGGUGUGGGCCUUGACCUGCAGAGCGUGGCCCUUCCUUCAAAGCCCUCUCCGGACGCCCUCCUAGCCUCUCCUGGGAAAGAUGCGGCAGCUCAAAGGCAAGCCCAAGAAGGAGACGUCCAAGGACAAGAAGGAGCGGAAGCAGGCCAUGCAGGAGGCCCGGCAGCAGAUCACCACGGUGGUGCUGCCCACGCUGGCCGUGGUCGUGCUUCUGAUUGUGGUGUUCGUGUACGUGGCCACGCGCCCCACCGUCACCGAGUGAGCGCUGUGGGCGGCUCCCCAAGCAGGGAGUGCAGGCCUGGGAGGGGGAAAGCAGACAAAACAUGGCUUUCGUGUUCAGAGAUUUUCCUGAUGCUGAGCUCUGAGCAGGAGCACCCUGUCUUCUCUGGUCUUCGACUUGAUUAAAGUUUCUCCAAUUUCCCUGGGAGGGAAUAGGGAACAUUUUAUCAGUGAACGUGCCAUACACCUUAUGGUCUACUUCAUGUGCCUUUCAGACUUCAAAGUGGGGUGUGUGUGUGUAUGUGUGUGUGUGUGUGUGUGUGUGUGUGUGUGUGUGUGUGUGUUUCUCUCCUAAAAUCGAUAAUGUAGCCCACCUGGUGAGAGGAGGAAUCUCUGGGUCAUGAAUCAGUUGGAGUCACUGCUCGCCCACCCCCAUUGUUUUGAACAUGACUUUUCCUACACGUGUUCACAAUUUCCAAAGGGACUGUACUUCUUCUCUGUGCUUAAUGUGAUUUGAAAUAUGUCGACUCAAAAGUGAAAUAUUUAUUUUUUUGAAUAAAGGAGAUAAUAGCCUUAAA